rnacentral:rRNA from 1 species
UACGGAGGGUGCAAGCGUUAAUCGGAAUUACUGGGCGUAAAGCGCACGCAGGUGGCUGAGUCAGUCGAUUGUGAAAGCCCUGGGCUUAACCUGGGAAUUGCAGUCGAUACUACUCAGCUAGAGUAUGGGAGAGGGCAGUGGAAUUCCCGGUGUAGCGGUGAAAUGCGCAGAUAUCAGGAGGAACACCGGUGGCGAAGGCGGGUCUCUGGGCCGAUAUUGACGCUGAGGAGCGAAAGCGUGGGGAGCGAACAGG